rnacentral:rRNA from 1 species
AUUGAACGCUGGCGGCAGGCCUAACACAUGCAAGUCGAGCGGAUGAAGGGAGCUUGCUCCUGGAUUCAGCGGCGGACGGGUGAGUAAUGCCUAGGAAUCUGCCUGGUAGUGGGGGAUAACGUCCGGACACGGGCGCUAAUACCGCAUACGUCCUGAGGGAGAAAGUGGGGGAUCUUCGGACCUCACGCUAUCAGAUGAGCCUAGGUCGGAUUAGCUAGUUGGUGGGGUAAAGGCCUACCAAGGCGACGAUCCGUAACUGGUCUGAGAGGGUGAUCAGUCACACUGGAACUGAGACACGGUCCAGACUCCUACGGGAGGCAGCAGUGGGGAAUAUUGGACAAUGGGCGAAAGCCUGAUCCAGCCAUGCCGCGUGUGUGAAGAAGGUCUUCGGAUUGUAAAGCACUUUAAGUUGGGAGGAAGGGCAGUAAGUUAAUACCUUGCUGUUUUGACGUUACCAACAGAAUAAGCACCGGCUAACUUCGUG